CAGCCUGGACCUUGGGGUGGAUGACUCAACCCUUGCUAUCCAUACCGCCAUGCUGCGAUCAAUAUUCAACCCGAGUAGGACAAAGUUCUGGACUGGUUUAGACUGGACUGGAAAACAUCAACUCAGUCCUCAUGCCAGAGAAACAACACAAACAUGCACUGGCACUUGGUUGCGGUUCGUAUCCUGGUCUUGUUGUCUGGAUGCAAACCUCCAGCUCUGUA